rnacentral:lncRNA from 1 species
CCAGCGCCGGCCCGCGGUGUACAGUUAGCGUCAAAUUACAGCAAUUAACCGGGCACCGGAAUUUAAUUACACAGCCCUGCCCCUUUCCCACCCCCCUCAGUCCUGGGGAGCCUCCUGCUCGGGGCGACGCGGAGAGAAGACGGCUCCGUGCAAAACGGGAAAGGGAUGGGGAAGAUGUACAGAGAUUUCGGGCUCUGGAAGCCUGCCGCCUCUCCUUUCCCCGCUUGCUGCUCGUCCUACCCCCUCGAGCCCUCUCUGGGGGGGAAGGGAGGAGGCAAUUUUGGUCCCGUAACCCUUAAGGGCACACCCGGCCCGUGUAGGGGACUGAAAUCGCCGCGCCCUGAGCUGCUGUCAUCCCUGAAGUGCCAGCUCCGUCUCGCCCUGCCUCCUCCUUGUGCAAAGGGAAGCUGAGGCACCUUCUCUCCUCAGACAAAACUGUCUUCUGGUGCAAAGACGUGUCCUCUCUCCUCUGUGUCACACCGUCUGGGUCACAGCUCGGUAGGGAUUUUGGCAGGUGGCUCUGAGGGAGUCAUCGCGGAGCUCUGUGCCCCCUGAAUUAUUUCCGAUGGGCGCGCCGGGUCCCUCCCCGUGUGUCACAACGCGGGGAGCACACGGGCAAAGCCCUACCCGCAUCCCUUUCCCUACACCGGCAGCUUUCUUAUGGCUGAAAACCCGGCCACGGAUCUCUUCCCAACGAGAAAGUGGGGAAGAGACGGUCUUGGGGGUCAUUCACCUUCCCGGCGUCGAGGUUCCCCGGCCGGUCUGUUACCGACCCCACCCCUGAGUGUCCCCACAGCCCGGCUCUCAGGUGCCGGACGGGUCUUUCCUCCUCCCUCCUGCCUGUUCUGCCGGCCCCCAGGGCGAACCGCAAGACCGUUUAGAUAAACCCGGCUCCUGAUUCUCUGCGGGGAACUUAGGCUUGGUUAUUCUUCUCACUGUGGCUUUUCAGUUCUCCCUGCCUCAGUGCCGCCCGGCUGGGGAGAAACUCAACGCGGCUGAUUUCCGCCGGCUCACUGACACAUAAAUAGUUUUUCUCCUUUUUUUUUUUCUUUUUUUUUUUUUUC